rnacentral:rRNA from 1 species
AGUGAACGCUGGCGGUAGGCCUAACACAUGCAAGUCGAACGGCAGCACAGUAAGAGCUUGCUCUUACGGGUGGCGAGUGGCGGACGGGUGAGGAAUACAUCGGAAUCUACUUUUUCGUGGGGGAUAACGUAGGGAAACUUACGCUAAUACCGCAUACGACCUACGGGUGAAAGCAGGGGAUCUUCGGACCUUGCGCGAUUGAAUGAGCCGAUGUCGGAUUAGCUAGUUGGCGGGGCAAAGGCCCACCACGGCGACGAUCCGUAGCUGGUAUGAGAGGAUGAUCAGCCACACUGGAAGUGAGACUCGGUCCAGACUCCUACGGGAGGCAGCAGUGGGGAAUAUUGGACAAUGGGGGCAAGCCUGAUCCAGCCAUACCGCGUGGGUGAAGAAGGCCUUCGGGUUGUAAAGCCCUUUUGUUGGGAAAGAAAAGCAGCAGGUUAAUACCCCGCUGUUCUGACGGUACCCAAAGAAUAAGCACCGGCUAACUUCGUG